rnacentral:rRNA from 1 species
GACGAACGCUGGCGGCGUGCUUAACACAUGCAAGUCGAACGGAAAGGCCCUGCUUUUGUGGGGUGCUCGAGUGGCGAACGGGUGAGUAACACGUGAGUAACCUGCCCUUGACUUUGGGAUAACUUCAGGAAACUGGGGCUAAUACCGGAUAGGAGCUCCUGCUGCAUGGUGGGGGUUGGAAAGUUUCGGCGGUUGGGGAUGGACUCGCGGCUUAUCAGCUUGUUGGUGGGGUAGUGGCUUACCAAGGCUUUGACGGGUAGCCGGCCUGGGAGGGUGACCGGCGACAAUGGGACUGAGAUACGGCCCAGACGGCUACGGGAGGCAGCAGUGGGGAGUAUUGCACAAUGGGCGGAAGCGUGAUGCAGAGGCGCCGCGUGCGGGAUGACGGCCUUCGGGUGGUAAACAGAUUUCGCCUGUGACGAAGAGUGAGUGACGGUAAUGGGUAAGGAAGCACCGGCUAACUACGUG